GAGUUUGAUCUUGGCUCAGAUUGAACGCUGGCGGCAUGCCUUACACAUGCAAGUCGAACAGCAGCACGGGAGCUUGCUCCUGGGUGGCGAGUGGCGAACGGGUGAGUAAUGCAUCGGAACGUAUCCUGGAGUGGGGGAUAACGUAGCGAAAGUUACGCUAAUACCGCAUAUUCUGUGAGCAGGAAAGCGGGGGACCUUCGGGCCUCGCGCUCUUGGAGCGGCCGAUGUCGGAUUAGCUAGUUGGUGAGGUAAAGGCUCACCAAGGCGACGAUCCGUAGCAGGUCUGAGAGGAUGAUCUGCCACACUGGAACUGAGACACGGUCCAGGACUCCUACGGGAGGCAGGCAGUGGGGAAUUUUGGACAAUGGGGGCAACCCUGAUCCAGCCAUGCCGCGUGAGUGAAGAA
rnacentral:rRNA from 1 species